CGGCCGCGUCGACGGCGGACGGGUGAGUAACACGUGGGCAACCUGCCCUGCAGAUCGGGAUAACUCCGGGAAACCGGUACUAAUACCGAAUAGUUUGCGGCCUCUCCUGAGGCUGCACGGAAAGACGGUUUCGGCUGUCACUGCAGGAUGGGCCCGCGGCGCAUUAGCUAGUUGGUGGGGUAAUGGCCCACCAAGGCCACGAUGCGUAGCCGACCUGAGAGGGUGAUCGGCCACACUGGGACUGAGACACGGCCCAGACUCCUACGGGAGGCAGCAGUAGGGAAUCUUCCGCAAUGGGGGAAACCCUGAUGCAGCGACGCCGCG
rnacentral:rRNA from 1 species